GGUGGCUCCAAUUGCGGUAGGGCCCUCGACCGAUCUUUCCUAUCUUCAAAUCAGCAUCGAAUGAAUCUGUCGAGCCAACCUUGUCUGAUGAGCUCUUCGAUCUCAUCUCAGAGCUGAAUGCACUCCUCCGUGUCGUGGCCGUGGUCACGAUGAUAGAGGCAGAACUUGUUAGAGUUGCAUUUUCUGGGGUGUGUGUGCAUCCUUUCCGACCUUGGCAGCUGCUCCCUAACCUCCAUCAGUACUUGGGUUUUCGAUACGUUGAGAGGGACGUAGCUGUGAAAUCUUCUCGGGGGAGAGCCCCACCAAACUCUGCGAUCCGAGCUUCUCUGCCUACGAGCCCGGGGAGGAGUCUGGACACGCUUGUGUUCGGAGGAAGUUCGAGAA
rnacentral:lncRNA from 1 species